rnacentral:rRNA from 1 species
GACGAACGCUGGCGGCGUGCUUAACACAUGCAAGUCGAACGGAAAGGCCCUGCUUUUGUGGGGUGCUCGAGUGGCGAACGGGUGAGUAACACGUGAGUAACCUGCUCUUCACUUUGGGAUAACUUCAGGAAACUGGGGCUAAUAUCGGAUAGGAGCUCCUGCUGCAUGGUGGGGGUUGGAAAGUUUCGGCUGUGGGGGAUGGACUCGCGGCUUAUCAGCUUGUUGGUGGGGUAGUGGCUGACCAAGGCGUUGACGGGUAGCCGGCCUGAGAGGGUGACCGGCCACCUUGGGACUGAGAUACGGCCCAGACUCCUACGGGAGGCAGCAGUGGGGAAUAUUGCACAAUGGGCGGAAGCCUGAUGCAGCAACGCCGCGUGCGGGAUGACGGCCUUCGGGUUGUAAACCGCUUUCGCCUGUGACGAAGCGUGAGUGACGGUAAUGGGUAAAGAAGCACCGGCUAACUACGUG